CCUACGGGAGGCAGCAGUAGGGAAUCUUUCACAAUGGGCGAAAGCCUGAUGGAGCAACGCCGCGUGCAGGAUGAAGGCCUUCGGGUUGUAAACUGCUUUUAUAAGCGAGAAAUAUGAUGGUAACUUAUGAAUAAGGAUCGGCUAGCUACGUGCCAGCAGCCGCGGUCAUACGUAGGAUCCGAGCAUUAUCCGGAGUGACUGGGUGUAAAGAGUUGCGUAGGUGGCAUAAUAAGUAGCUAGUGGAAUCUGGUGGCUAAACCAUUCAAACUAUUAGCUAAACUGUUAAGCUCGAGACUGUUAGGGGUAACUGGAAUUUCUGGUGUAGGAGUGAAAUGCGUAGAUAUUAGGAGGAACACCGAUAGCGUAGGCAGGUUACUGGAACGGUUCUGACACUAAGGCACGAAAGCGUAGGGAGCAAACGGGAUUAGAUACCCUGGUAGUC
rnacentral:rRNA from 1 species